UUGACGGGGCCCGCACAAGCGGAGGAACAUGUGGUUUAAUUCGAUGAUACGCGAGGAACCUUACCUGGGCUUAAAUGUAGAGUGCAUUUUUUAGAGAUAGAAAUUCCCUUCGGGGCUUUCUGCAAGGUGCUGCAUGGUUGUCGUCAGCUCGUGCCGUGAGGUGUCGGGUUAAGUCCCAUAACGAGCGCAACCCUUAUCGUUAGUUGCCAUCUGGUAAUGCAGGGGACUCUAGCGAAACUGCCACCGUAAGGUGAGAGGAAGGUGGGGAUGACGUCAAAUCAGCACGGCCCUUAUGUCCAGGGCUACACACGUGUUACAAUGGUCGGUACAGAGGGCAGCUACCUGGUGACAGGAUGCUAAUCUCGAAAACCGGUCUCAGUUCGGAUCGAAGUCUGCAACUCGACUUCGUGAAGCUGGAUUCGCUAGUAAUCGCGCAUCAGCUAUGGCGCGGUGAAUACGUUCCCGGGCCUU
rnacentral:rRNA from 1 species